rnacentral:rRNA from 1 species
AUGGACAUGUCUGUUGGUGUGUUGGUUUGGAAUGUCAGGGGGCUUAAUAACCCUGCUAGGCGUAGCUCUGUCCGUCUAUUUCUACAAACUUGCAAUGUUUCCCUUGUUUGUUUUCAAGAAUCCAAAUUGGUUGUGGUGGAUAGUGUGGUGGUUGGGAAAACUUUGGGCCCUGCCUUUGAUGGCUUUGAUUUUAUUCCAGCCGAUGGUACCAGAGGGGGGAUCUUGCUUGCUUGGAAAUCU